GCUGAAUGGUCGUGUCCCUGUGACAGGUGUUGCGGAGAUACCCUCCACAGUGGAAGAGCUCAGACCCGGAGACGCUGGUGUCUUACUGCGGCCCAGAGCAAGGAUGGGCAGUCCGUGGAAGUGGUGACCCAGGAUGAAAGAAAGCUGCUGCACACAACUGCAUCCUUACGCUGUUCUCUAAAAACAACCCAGGAACCCUUGAUUGUGACAUGGCAGAAAAAGAAAGCCGUAGGCCCAGAAAACAUGGUCACUUACAGCAAAGCCCAUGGGGUUGUCAUUCAGCCCACCUACAGAGACAGGAUAAACAUCACUGAGCUGGGACUCUUGAACACAAGCAUCACCUUCUGGAACACAACCCUGGAUGAUGAGGGUUGCUACAUGUGUCUCUUCAACAUGUUUGGAUCUGGGAAGGUCUCUGGGACAGCUUGCCUUACUCUCUAUGCCCAUAGUACACCUUCACUACAACUAUUUUGAAGACCACCUAAACAUCACGUGCUCUGCAACUGCCCGCCCAGCCCCUGCCAUCUCCUGGAAGGGCACUGGGUCAGGAAUUGAGAAUAGUACUGAGAGUCACUCCCAUUCAAAUGGGACUACAUCUGUCACCAGCAUCCUCCGGGUCAAAGACCCCAAAACUCAGGUUGGAAAGGAAGUGAUCUGCCAGGUUUU
rnacentral:lncRNA from 1 species